AAGAAAAGAGAAAAUAAAGGAUGUUUUACAAUCUAACUUAACUAACCACCCACUGUACUUAAUACCAACACCUUGCCUUAAGAAAAAAAGUCCACAUUUUUCCGUUUCGUAUAUCUCGACGAAAUCGCUUACAAUCGAAGCUAAUUGAUAAGGAGGCCGAAUUCGUAGAUCAGAAUCCUCCGAUCGCGUGAAAAAUAUGGCCAAUGAUGUCGAAGCUAAAGGAUUCAACCCAGGCUUGAUUGUCUUGCUUCUUAUUGGUGGGCUCGUGUUGGCGUUUCUUAUUGGAAACUAUGUCCUUUAUGUGUAUGCCCAGAAAACCCUUCCUCCAAAGAAAAAGAAGCCACUCUCCAAGAAGAAGAUGAAGAGGGAAAGGCUGAAGCAGGGUGUAUCGGCACCCGGAGAGUAAUUGUUUAGACACAUUGGAGGAUAUUCCCCUUGUUCAUGUUGAAGAGAGAAUAUGUCUGAGUUAUUCAGCAGCACUUUAAUCAGAUGGUUGUACUUUUUAAGGUUAAUACUUUCCUGUCACCAUUGUUAGAACUUUAAAGAUUGCCAGCUAACUGAGAAAUUUUCCUAGAAGCUACUGUUCUUCCUUUUUCGUUCUAGCAGAACUAUUGGGUUUUUGUUUUUCC